UGUAUUCUUUGAAGUGUGUUGUGAAUUCAGGGCUUUGUGGUCUGAGAAACAAACAGGUGCAGGUGUAAUAAAGCUUCCUCAUACUGACUACUGUGCCUGGUAAUUUGUUGUAAAUGGUGCUAAUAUUUUUCUCAACUUGCAGUAUCAUAUUUUUGUUGUGAUAAGCUACUGGAGAGCACCAUCCUUCUGAAGCAAGACUGUACCUAAUUCCUCAUUUCAGGCAUCCAUAGUGAGAGUCAAUAAUUUGAUAUCAAGCGGCUGCAAUAUAGGUUCUCAGUACAACAAUGAUUUUAGUGUGUGGAUUAAACUUUCUUCCUGGGGGUCUGUAGGAGUACAUAGAUGCACCAUUAGAAGUUCGAGGUAGGUUCCAGUAAUGCGGUUUACCACCUCGUUGGGUACUGCCACGGUCUCGGUCAUUCGGCUGACUGGACGCCUACCUAAAACACCACACACUCACGCCUGCAAUGGUUUUCCUUUAUUGUGAUUUAAGCACCACCUGGAGUUUGGGCCUCUGUUGUAUACUUGCUGUGACCGUGUCUGGGGAAUCUAACUGCGCCUGUGAACAGCGCCCGCAAAUAAACUCACGGCACCUG